UGCUCGAUUAGCUGCUGGAGUGAUGUUGAAUCUCUGGCACCUGCCUGUGUCUGUCUGUCUCUCUCGCUCACGGAGUGUGCCUGCAUCUUUCCGUCGCUGGAAGAACGAGGCGAGAUCCAUGCCCAUUUGAAGAGUGUGCCGGGCGGCGCUGGGCGCCUUCAUGUGACAAGGCGUGAAAGCUGAGCGAAACGACGGUGCGAUGGCACUGCCCUCUCUCCCUAGUCUCAGCACAUUGACACGCGCACAGAUACCUUCGCAGGCACGCGCGCACGACCCGUCUGCGGAGAGCUCACACAUGCACGUGGACAAACCGGUGAGGAAACAAAGUAGAAGGAGAGGGCGAGAGGACUGACAGGCAGCUGAUCGAACUGCGCGAGCGAGAAGGGAGGAAAAUACGCUCAGCGCACGAUAAACCGUCCCCGAGAUGGAAAAUGGGCGACGAUGCCCCGUCGGUGCGGACUUUGUCACCCGGCAGAGGGCACUCAUCCCCACGUGAAGGAAAACGAGAAGCGCACAGGGAGGGGGAGAGAGCGAGAGAGAGGGCUGAACGUGCUGUUCCAUCUGCUGCGCUGACACUCGCG
rnacentral:misc_RNA from 1 species